GAUGAACGCUGGCGGCGUGCUUAACACAUGCAAGUCGAACGGAAAGGCCCAAGCUUGCUUGGGUACUCGAGUGGCGAACGGGUGAGUAACACGUGGGUGAUCUGCCCUGCACUUCGGGAUAAGCCUGGGAAACUGGGUCUAAUACCGGAUAGGACCACAUUUUGGAUGGUGUGGUGGAAAGUUUUUCGGUGUGGGAUGAGCUCGCGGCCUAUCAGCUUGUUGGUGGGGUAAUGGCCUACCAAGGCGUCGACGGGUAGCCGGCCUGAGAGGGUGUACGGCCACAUUGGGCCGGAGAUCCGGCCCAGACUCCUGCGGGAGGCAGCAGUGGGGAAUAUUGCACAAUGGGCGCAAGCCUGAGCCAGCGACGCCGCGGGGGGGAUGCCGGCCUUCGGGUUGUAAACUCCUUUCGCUGGGGACGAAGCUUUAUGUGACGGUACCGGGAGAAGAAGCCCCGGCUAACUACGU
rnacentral:rRNA from 1 species